rnacentral:rRNA from 1 species
GACGAACGCUGGCGGCGUGCCUAAUACAUGCAAGUUGAGCGCUGAAGGUUGGUACUUGUACCAACUGGAUGAGCAGCGAACGGGUGAGUAACGCGUGGGGAAUCUGUCUUUGAGCGGGGGACAACAUUUGGAAACGAAUGCUAAUACCGCAUAAAAACUUUAAACACAAGUUUUAAGUUUGAAAGAUGCAAUUACAUCACUCAAAGAUGAUCCCGCGUUGUAUUAGCUAGUUGGUGAGGUAAAGGCUCACCAAGGCGAUGAUACAUAGCCGACCUGAGAGGGUGAUCGGCCACAUUGGGACUGAGACACGGCCCAAACUCCUACGGGAGGCAGCAGUAGGGAAUCUUCGGCAAUGGACGAAAGUCUGACCGAGCAACGCCGCGUGAGUGAAGAAGGUUUUCGGAUCGUAAAACUCUGUUGGUAGAGAAGAACGUUGGUGAGAGUGGAAAGCUCAUCAAGUGACGGUAACUACCCAGAAAGGGACGGCUAACUACGUG